rnacentral:rRNA from 1 species
CCUAGUAACUGCGAGUGAAGCGGGAAAAGCUCAAAUUUAAAAUCUGGCGGUCUUUGGCCGUCCGAGUUGUAAUCUAGAGAAGUGUUAUCCGCGCUGGACCGUGUACAAGUCUCCUGGAAUGGAGCGUCAUAGAGGGUGAGAAUCCCGUCUUUGACACGGACUGCCAGGGCUUUGUGAUGCGCUCUCAAAGAGUCGAGUUGUUUGGGAAUGCAGCUCAAAAUGGGUGGUAAAUUCCAUCUAAAGCUAAAUAUUGGCGAGAGACCGAUAGCGAACAAGUACCGUGAGGGAAAGAUGAAAAGAACUUUGGAAAGAGAGUUAAACAGUACGUGAAAUUGCUGAAAGGGAAACGCUUGAAGUCAGUCGCGUUGGCCGGGAAUCAACCUUGCUUUUGCUGGGCGUACUUUCCGGUCGACGGGUCAACAUCAAUUUUGACCGUUGGAUAAAGGCUUAGGGAAUGUGGCUUCUUCGGGAGUGUUAUAGCCCUGGGUCGCAUACAACGGUUGGGAUUGAGGAACUCAGCACGCCGCAAGGCCGGGUACUUGUACCACGUUCGUGCUUAGGAUGUUGGCAUAAUGGCUUUAAUCGACCCGUCUUGAAACACGGACCAAGGAGUCUAACAUGCCUGCGAGUGUUUGGGUGGAAAACCCGAGCGCGUAAUGAAAGUGAAAGUUGAGAUCCCUGUCGUGGGGAGCAUCGACGCCCGGACCAGAACUUUUGGGACGGAUCCGCGGUAGAGCAUGUAUGUUGGGACCCGAAAGAUGGUGAACUAUGCCUGAAUAGGGUGAAGCCAGAGGAAACUCUGGUGGAGGCUCGUAGCGAUUCUGACGUGCAAAUCGAUCGUCAAAUUUGGGUAUAG